UUACGGGUCUCACCCCAUGUGAUAAUCAUUGUGCAGAUGAUUACGGGUCUCACCCCGUGUGUUAAUAAUCAUUGUGCAGUUGAUUACGGGUCUCACCCUGUGUGUUAAUCAUUGUGCAGAUGAUUACGGGUCUCACCCCAUGUGUUAAUCAUUGUGCAGAUGAUUACGGGUCUCACCCCAUGUGUUAAUCAUUGUGCAGAUGAUUACGGGUCUCACCCUGUGUGUUAAUCAUUGUGCACAUGUGUUAUUUAUUCGAGGUACUCCUUGAUCUUUUGUUUUGGGUUUCUACCCUGUUUUUGUUACGUGUUAGUUUGGUCUUCGUCCCCGUGUUUUUACACCGCAGGUUGUAAUUUGGGUGCAAUUUAAAAACUAUUACACAUUCCUGCGUCUGUCUCCGACUCAUUCAUACUGACGUGACACUAUCGUCAAAGGUCAGUGAGAAAGUUGUGAUGGACUACUAUCUGGACGAUCGUGCCAUGCAAUGCUGACUCUCUCACUCUGAAAAUAACACGUUUUGAAAUCAGUGGAACACAACCGGCCAAACAAUCUGUGAAAACUAAAUAGAAACAACACCGGCGGUUUUAUCAAAUGUGUAGCAGUCUGCGGUGAAGCUUUCAUCCAUGUAUACAGGUAUACAGUCAUCAAAAAGAGAGCUGGCCUAAGCAAGCAAAGGCAGCAGCGCAGUCAUCAACAACAUGCACCAUUUCUUCACCAACUACAGAGUUGGGAAAACACCUGUGGCUCUGAAUUGUGAAACUGCAAUGGCCAAAACAAGAACAAGUUUGUGCUUUGGUAUUGUCCCUGGGGGACCAUGCACAAGCUCCACUACAAUCUGGACCCUCACUUCCUGAUCAUAGGCCACACCAAGUUUGCCCCUGACUGGUGCUUUCAGCCUCAUCAAGCAGCACUUCAGAAAGAUCAGAGUGAACACUUUGUCUGAGACUGCUGGUGUUGUGAAGGACAGCACUGUGACAUGGGUCAACAUCCCACAGCUGGUUGGACUGCAGGAUGGUACGGUGCUGGUGGAAAGCUGGCUGACAACAAUACCUGACUCUGUACUUCAGGCUGCUGCCACAGAUCAAGCAGUACCAGCACUUCAGCUUCAAUGGUCUGGAGCCUGGUGUUGUAGCCAAGGAGCGUUCAGACUGUCGGGACCAGGUUUCGGCUGCUGCACAUUCUUCCUCCCAUAGAUGGUCUGCCUGUAAAAGCACCACCUGGACUGGACACAGCUAGACAAACUAUCUUUGUGACAAGAUCAGGGAGUUUUGCGAAGAAGAGGCUAUGGACAUCACAUGCCCUGCACCAAAGUCAAGUGCAGGACAGAAACAGGCUCUCCGAAUAGAUUCCCUUUUUCAUGCGUGGUUUGGACGGACCAGUCAUCAGCACUAUCUGCAGAGAGACCAUCCACUUCGAAAAAUAUUGAUAUAUAAUGUAUGUAUGUAUGGUCGUAACAUGAUUUUUGUAACAUACCACAACAAUGUCAUGUGACUGUAUCAAGUGUCCACCACAUAAAAAUAUGCAUGCGCCAUAUAUUUAUGUACUGUACAUGUGCACCUCACUCAGGUUACAUGGCCUUGAGUUGAAACCUAUUUAUGGAACAUUGUGAUAAGUGCAUAUGUAACAGCAUAGUAUGCUACUGUACUGGUGUGAAGGCAUCUGGGCAGUGGUGUAAAAAUACUUCCAAGUACUACUUAAGUAGUUUGUGGUAUCUGUACAUUACUUUACUAUUUUGAAUUUUUGGCUGCUUUUACUUCACUUCAUUCGUAAAAAGAAAUAUAAUGUACUUUUUACUCAAUACAUUUUCCUUCACAACCAAAAGUACAGCAGAAUUGUCCAAUUCACACACUUAUCAAGAGAACAUCCCUGGUCAUCCAUACUGCCUCUGAUCAGGCUGACUCACUAAACACAAAUGCUUUGUUUGUAAAUUUGUUGGUGUGCCCCUGGCUAUCGUCAAUAACAAAAUAAUUGUGCCAUCUGGUUUAAUAAGGAAUUUGAAAUUAAUUAUACUUUUACUCUGACAAUUUGGUACUUUUUCCACCAAUGGAUGAGGCUGGGGGUUAUAAUAUUUAUUUCACAUGACCAUCAAUUUAGACAAGUGUGUCUGGGUAAGUGUCUAAUAUUUAUAACAUUUUUAUCUAGACACUGUUUACCUGUAAUUGUUCCUUAUUGUAGGCUACUACUUUUCCUACAAGACUCACUGUUUAAUACAUGACCUCACAUGUGAAUCCGUAAAGAGAUGGAUGGGGCUAAGGCUUAAGAGGGUGUGAACAAUGCUGAAUGGGUGUAGACAAUGGAGAGCUCUCCAAUAGGUACCAAAACUUUCAAAUGCCAUUUUCUCAAAAGUGAGUUUACAAGUGCAUCAACUUUCAAAGCAGAAUUACAUUCCCAUUGUUCCUCAUCUGUAGUGUAUGAUAUACCAUUUUGUAGCUCUGAGUCUCUACUUUUA